rnacentral:rRNA from 1 species
UACGUAGGGGGCUAGCGUUGUCCGGAAUCAUUGGGCGUAAAGCGCGUGUAGGCGGUCCGGUAAGUCCGCUGUGAAAGUCGGGGGCUCAACCCUCUGAUGCCGGUGGAUACUGUCGGGCUUGAGUACGGAAGAGGCGAGUGGAAUUCCUGGUGUAGCGGUGAAAUGCGCAGAUAUCAGGAGGAACACCAAUUGCGAAGGCAGCUCGCUGGGACGUUACUGACGCUGAGACGCGAAAGCGUGGGGAGCAAACAGG